rnacentral:lncRNA from 1 species
GAUGAGAUUGACAGACCUCCAGUCACGCCUGCUUUGUUACUGAGUUUCUGCCCGGAGGAGACCUCAUGAUGCAGAUCCACGAGGAUGUCUUUCCUGAGCCCCAGGCCUGCUUCUACCUGGCCUGUGUGGUCCUGGGGCUGCAGUUCCUACACGAGAAGAGGAUCAUUUACAGGGAUCUGAAAUUGGAUAAUCUACUACUGGAUGCCCAGGGCUUCCUCAAGAUUGCAGACUUCGGACUAUGCAAAGAAGGAAUUGGCUUUGGUGACCGGACCAGCACUUUCUGUGGUACCCCAGAGUUCCUGGCUCCUGAGGUUUUGACUCAGGAGGCUUACACUCGGGCUGUGGACUGGUGGGGGCUCGGUGUGCUGCUCUAUGAGAUGUUAGUGGGUGAGGGGACACGGAAGACGAGGUGUUUGAAUGCAUCGUCAAUGCUGAUGUCCCAUGUCCCCACUUCCUGUCAGCUCAAGGCCUCGAGCUCAUUCAGAAGCUCCUCCAGAAGUCCCCAGAGAAGCGUCUAGGGGCAGGAGAGCGGGACGCCGAGGAGAUCAAGGUUCAGCCAUUCUUCAGGACCACCAACUGGCAGGCCUUGCUUGCCCGCACUGUCCAGCCCCCCUUCGUGCCUACCCUCUGUGGCCCUGCAGACCUUCGUUACUUCGAGGGAGAGUUCACCAGCCUGCCUCCAACCCUGACCCCACCAGUCCCCCGCCGUUCCCUCUCUGCUCGCCAACAAGCUGCCUUCCGGGACUUUGACUUUGUGUCUAAGCGGUUCCUGGAGUCCUGAGGGUCUCCUGGCACCUCUGCCAGAGUGUAGGAAGCCUCCACUUAUCCAUGUGCCUGGGCCAAAGGAUUUAAUGAGUGUGAGAUUCUAGGUAGUGGCCAUGGGGCUGCCGUUCGAGGCUUUUCUCGGUGUUGCUGCUAUAACCCCUCUCCUUAUUCUUCUGCUUCCUGGUAGACCCCAGACCAGGAAAGACCCCACAGCAGCAUGGUUGGUUUCUCUUUUUAAUACUUGACUUCAUAUAGAGUAUUAAAUUAAUAAAACUGUACACUCGAGGUAGCCAGGCCAGGG